GGAUCUACCUCUGACUUCAGUCUUCCAAGAUACAGGAUAUCACAGUUCAGUCUGGCACAUGUCAGAAAAAGUCGUGGAUAUAGCAAUGUCCUCACUCACAGAGAAAGCAGAAGCAUAUGGGCCCCCAUCCUAUAUCUCUUUGCCCCAUGUUCUUUCCUCACUUUCUCCUCAGAAAAGUGGAGACUUCUCAUGGAUAUCAACCCACC